rnacentral:rRNA from 1 species
GACGAACGCUGGCGGCGUGCUUAACACAUGCAAGUCGAACGGAAAUGCCCUGCUUUUGUGGGGUGCUCGAGUGGCGAACGGGUGAGUAACACGUGAGUAACCUGCCCUUGACUUUGGGAUAACUUCAGGAAACUGGGGCUAAUACCGGAUAGGAGCUCCUGCUGCAUGGUGGGGGUUGGAAAGUUUCGGCGGUUGGGGAUGGACUCGCGGCCUAUCAGCUUGUUGGUGGGGUAGUGGCUUACCAAGGCUUUGACGGGUAGCCGGCCUGGGAGGGUGACCGGCCACAUUGGGACUGAGAUACGGCCCAGACUCCUACGGGAGGCAGCAGUGGGGAAUAUUGCACAAUGGGCGGAAGCCUGAUGCAGCAACGCCGCGUGUGGGAUGACGGCCUUCGGGUUGUAAACCGCUUUCGCCUGUGACGAAGCGUGAGUGACGGUAAUGGGUAAAGAAGCACCGGCUAACUACGUG